GAUUGCUGAGGCUUGAGCAUUGUUUUCGACGUUUUUCUGAAACUGACAAUUUGUUCCCUUGUACCAAUCAUUACUGCAUCAGGUUCUUUUCUGUUUGCAGGCCAUCCAGACGUUCCUUUUCCUGUCAUGUAAAGAACUACUUUUAAAAUUUUAUUUUUAGGCCACGUUUGGUUCCUUUAUAGAGUGUUUGGUUUGAAGAAUAAGUCAGUUCAUCAUUUUCUCACUCCUCACUAUUUUUGUUUGAUUUGUGGAAUAGAAUGAAUUGAUCAAUCACCAUCCCAUUAUUCAUUGUUAGUUAGUACUAAUAGGAGAAAUAAAGUCAUCCCACCAAAUUUAAGGAAUGAACCCAUGAUGCACCACAUGUCAUGAUGUAAUCAAAGCAAGAGGCACCAAGUUUGUGGUGGUCCUUGCAGGGUCUAAGUGACCCGUUUGAUUAAGGAGAAAGCUCACUCGGUUUAAGUGACCGUUUAAGAGAGGGAAAUGGUUGAAACAGACCCGGUCUUUGUGACCACCUCAACGGGGACUAGGUUUUUUAGAACCGAACCUCGGUAAAACAAAUCACCAUGUUCAUUCGCUUGAUUUUCAUUUGAUUUGUUUUUCCACUCUCUCUCGGACUUGAUUUUAGUUCUAACGCUAACCUCGGCUUGUAGUGUGUGUUUAAAGUUGUAAAUUUCAGAUUACGCCUAUUCACCCCUUUUAGACGACUUUCACACCCCUUGAGGGAUUAGUGACUAAAACAAUUUAGUCCCUAUUUUA
rnacentral:lncRNA from 7 species